CCUACGGGUGGCAGCAGUGAGGAAUAUUCGUCAAUGGGCGUAAGCCUGACCCAGCCAAGUCGCGUGAGGGAUGAAGGUUCUAUGGAUCGUAAACCUCUUUUAUAAGGGAAUACAGUGUGGGACGUAUCCUGUCUUGUAUGUACCUUAUGAAUACGGAUCGGCUAACUCCGUGCCAGCAGCCGCGGUAAUACGGAGGAUCCGAGCGUUAUCCGGAUUUAUUGGGUUUAAAGGGUGCGUAGGCGGCCUUUUAAGUCAGCGGUGAAAGUCUGUGGCUCAACCAUAGAAUUGCCGUGGAAACUGGGAGGCUUGAGUAUGUAUGAGGCGGGCGGAAUGCGUGGUGUAGCGGUGAAAGGCUUAGAUAUCACGCAGAACCCCGAUUGCGAAGGCAGCCUGCCAGGCCAUGACUGACGCUGAUGCACGAAAGCGUGGGGAGCAAACAGGAUUAGAUACCCGGGUAGUC
rnacentral:rRNA from 1 species